rnacentral:rRNA from 1 species
GACGAACGCUGGCGGCGUGCUUAACACAUGCAAGUCGAACGCUGAACCCGCUUCGGUGGGGGUUGAGUGGCGAACGGGUGCGUAACACGUGGGCAACCUGCCCCCGGCUCUGGGAUAACUCCAAGAAAUUGGGGCUAAUACCGGAUGUGACCGCUGGCCGCAUGGUCUGGUGGUGGAAAGGGUUUCCGGCUGGGGAUGGGCCCGCGGCCUAUCAGCUUGUUGGUGGGGUAGUGGCCUACCAAGGCGACGACGGGUAGCCGGCCUGAGAGGGUGACCGGCCACACUGGGACUGAGACACGGCCCAGACUCCUACGGGAGGCAGCAGUGGGGAAUAUUGCGCAAUGGGCGGAAGCCUGACGCAGCGACGCCGCGUGGGGGAUGACGGCCUUCGGGUUGUAAACCUCUUUCAGCAGGGACGAAGCGCAAGUGACGGUACCUGCAGAAGAAGCACCGGCCAACUACGUG